AACGAACGCUGGCGGCAUGCCUAACACAUGCAAGUCGAACGAGACCUUCGGGUCUAGUGGCGCACGGGUGCGUAACGCGUGGGAACCUGCCCUUAGGUUCGGAAUAACUCCCCGAAAGGGGUGCUAAUACCGGAUAAUGUCUUCGGACCAAAGAUUUAUCGCCUUUGGAUGGGCCCGCGUUGGAUUAGCUAGUUGGUAGGGUAAAAGCCUACCAAGGCGACGAUCCAUAGCUGGUCUGAGAGGAUGAUCAGCCACACUGGGACUGAGACACGGCCCAGACUCCUACGGGAGGCAGCAGUGGGGAAUAUUGGACAAUGGGCGAAAGCCUGAUCCAGCAAUGCCGCGUGAGUGAUGAAGGCCUUAGGGUUGUAAAGCUCUUUUACCCGGGAUGAUAUUGACAGUACCGGGAGAAUAAGCUCCGGCUAACUCCGUG
rnacentral:rRNA from 1 species